GACGAACGCUGGCGGCGUGCCUAAUACAUGCAAGUAGAACGCUGAAGAGAGGAGCUUGCUCUUCUUGGAUGAGUUGCGCACGGGUGAGUAACGCGUAGGUAACCUGCCUGGUAGCGGGGGAUAACUAUUGGAAACGAUAGCUAAUACCGCAUAAAAUGGAUUAUCGCAUGAUAAUCCAUUGAAAGGUGCAAAUGCAUCACUACCAGAUGGACCUGCGUUGUAUUAGCUAGUUGGUGGGGUAACGGCUCACCAAGGCGACGAUACAUAGCCGACCUGAGAGGGGGGUCGGCCACACUGGGACGGAGACACGGCCCAGACGCCUACGGGAGGCAGCAGUAGGGAAGCUUCGGCAAUGGACGGAAGUCUGACCGAGAAACGCCGCGUGAGGGAAGAAGGGUUUCGGAUCGUAAAGCUCUGUUGUAAGAGAAGAAAGAGUGUGAGAGUGGAAAGUUCACACUGUGACGGUAUCUUACCAGAAAGGGACGGCUAACUACGUG
rnacentral:rRNA from 1 species